CUAGUUGCCAGCGAUUCGGUCGGGGACGUCUAGAGAUACUGCCCCGGUUAACCGGGGAGGAAGGUGGGGAGUGACGUCAAGUCCUCAUGGCCCUUAUGCCCAGGGCUACACACGUGCUACAAUGGGCGGUACAAGGGUAGCGAUGCCGCGAGGCGAAGCCAAUCCCAAAAAGCCGUCCUCAGUUCGGAUUGGAGUCUGCAACUCGACUCCAUGAAGCCGGAAUCGCUAGUAAUCGCGGAUCAGCAUGCCGCGGUGAAUACGUUCCCGGGCCUU
rnacentral:rRNA from 1 species